AGAGUUUGAUCCUGGCUCAGGAUGAACGCUGGCGGCGUGCCUAAUACAUGCAAGUCGAGCGAACGGACGAGAAGCUUGCUUCUCUGAUGUUAGCGGCGGACGGGUGAGUAACACGUGGAUAACCUACCUAUAAGACUGGGAUAACUUCGGGAAACCGGAGCUAAUACCGGAUAAUAUUUUGAACCGCAUGGUUCAAAAGUGAAAGACGGUCUUGCUGUCACUUAUAGAUGGAUCCGCGCUGCAUUAGCUAGUUGGUAAGGUAACGGCUUACCAAGGCAACGAUGCAUAGCCGACCUGAGAGGGUGAUCGGCCACACUGGAACUGAGACACGGUCCAGACUCCUACGGGAGGCAGCAGUAGGGGAUCUUCCGCAAUGGGCGAAAGCCUGACGGAGCAACGCCGCGUGAGUGAUGAAGGUCUUCGGAUCGUAAAACUCUGUUAUUAGGGAAGAACAUAUGUGUAAGUAACUGUGCACAUCUUGACGGUACCUAAUCAGAAAGCCACGGCUAACUACGUGCCAGCAGCCGCGGUAAUACGUAGGUGGCAAGCGUUAUCCGGAAUUAUUGGGCGUAAAGCGCGCGUAGGCGGUUUUUUAAGUCUGAUGUGAAAGCCCACGGCUCAACCGUGGAGGGUCAUUGGAAACUGGAAAACUUGAGUGCAGAAGAGGAAAGUGGAAUUCCAUGUGUAGCGGUGAAAUGCGCAGAGAUAUGGAGGAACACCAGUGGCGAAGGCGACUUUCUGGUCUGUAACUGACGCUGAUGUGCGAAAGCGUGGGGAUCAAACAGGAUUAGAUACCCUGGUAGUCCACGCCGUAAACGAUGAGUGCUAAGUGUUAGGGGGUUUCCGCCCCUUAGUGCUGCAGCUAACGCAUUAAGCACUCCGCCUGGGGAGUACGACCGCAAGGUUGAAACUCAAAGGAAUUGACGGGGACCCGCACAAGCGGUGGAGCAUGUGGUUUAAUUCGAAGCAACGCGAAGAACCUUACCAAAUCUUGACAUCCUUUGACAACUCUAGAGAUAGAGCCUUCCCCUUCGGGGGACAAAGUGACAGGUGGUGCAUGGUUGUCGUCAGCUCGUGUCGUGAGAUGUUGGGUUAAGUCCCGCAACGAGCGCAACCCUU
rnacentral:rRNA from 1 species